GCACACUAGUCUCAGGUCUGGUUUCGUCUGGUACAGCAGUAGUAGUCUGGCGUGAGUGGCGCUGCAGGAGCUCCACCUUGCAGUAUUUUGGCACCGAUUCCAGGCUUCCAGAGUGGUCCAGGUCACAGGCAGUAGAGGGGUUAGGUCGUGAGGGCGUGGCAGUGGUCGUGACACAAGGAGCAGCAAGUGUUUGUGUUCACCAAGAGACAGCCCAACAGGAGUGAGGCUUGAUGGAGGAGCUGCAGCCACUGUACGUCAGCCUCGCCUCAGAGGUUGACGACCCACAAGUGACUGUCAUCUCCAGCCAGUGCAUGAAUUGUCACGAGAUGGGCACGACACGUCUACUCAUGACUCGCAUCCCACACCUGAAAGAAGUUAUCCUGACGUCCUUUGAGUGUGAGCACUGUGGGGAGAGGAACACCGGCUGCCAGAUGGGGCGGUGGCAGGAAAAGGGAGUGCGUUAUCAGCUGCAGGUGAGGGACGAGAGGGAUCUGAGUCGCCAGGUGGUGAAGUCUGGUGAGGCCACUGUGUGUAUACCUGAGGUAGAGCUGGAGAUUCCCCCCAACAAGGAGAAGGGAGAGGUGACCACGGUGGAGGGCAUCCUGCGGCGCACCAUGGAGGGACUCAACCAGGACCAGUCAGCGCGCCGCCUGGAGGACCCCGACACAGCACUCAGGAUAGAAAACUUCAUUGAUGAGAUAGAGAGACUCCUCACACCUGGCCAGCACUUCACCAUCAUUAUUGAUGACCCCACUGGAAACAGCUUCCUGGAGAACCCUAAAGCCCCGAAGGAGGAUCCACAACUGAAAAGAACAGUCUACAAGCGAACCAAGGAGCAAAAUGAAAUUCUUGGCAUCGCUGAUGAAGAGGAGGAGGAUGUAGAAGAGAGCACAGAGAUUAACAGAACACCAGAAGGAGAAGAGGAGGAGAGUGAGUUGUCCUUGACGGAGGAGACCACCAGCGAGGCCAAGGACGACCCAGAAAACCUCAAGGAUGACCCAGAGAACAUCAAGGACGAGGUGCUGGUGUUCUCAACGCUGUGUGACCGCUGCUCUCGGCCAGCCAGUACCAACAUGAAGGUCACGAAGAUACCGCACUUCAAGGAGGUGAUCAUCAUGGCCACAAGCUGCGAGGGGUGUGGGAACCGCAGCAACGAGGUGAAGAGUGGUGGCGGCGUGGAGAAGCUUGGCCGCCGCAUCACUUUAAAGGUCAAAGAAUCGUAUGACCUGGCCAGGGACGUGCUGAAGAGUGAGACCUGUGAGCUUAGUAUCCCUGAGCUGGACCUGGUGGUGGGGGGCGGACUCAUUGGUGGGAAAUUCACCACACUGGAGGGCUUGCUGAAGGACAUCAAGGAAGACCUGGAAAGCAACCCCUUCUUGACUGGGGACUCCUCCAGUAAGGAAAACCAGGAUGUUGUUGAGAAUCUCGUCUAUGACCUGCAUGAUGUGAUCAAGGGCAAGAGAGGUGUUACCUUCAUCAUGGAUGACCCAGCUGGAAAUAACUACGUGCAGAACCUGUACGCCCCAGAUGACGACCCUCAGUUGACCAUUGAGGAGUACGAACGCACAUACGAGCAGAACGAAGAGCUUGGCCUCAAUGACAUGAAGACCGAGAACUACGAGGAGGAGGCCGCUGUGAUAGCCCCUCCACAGGCCUCAUGAUGCCUCCUGCAGGCCUGUGUGGACUGGGAAGUGAGAGAGCAGUGUGAGGAGAGGAGAAAGAAUAGCAUGUUACAAGAGUGACUGUACAGAAGCCGUCUUGAAGAAGUCAAGUCCAUUAAGAGAAGUGUUCACAAGAAGGAAUAACUUUUUGAUUUGUCAAUGUUACAAUGAGACAGUGGUUAUUACAAUAAAGGCCUGCCACACCACAAUUUACAAGACAUUAAAUGACUAUGACUUAGAAUUGGAAUUGUGUCAACUGUAACAAAAGUCCAGUUUAAAACUCAAUGGGAUGGAAAAGUUCACAACUCCCCAAGAACUUCAACACCACACACUUGAAGCAUUGAACAGGUGUGAAUCAAAUCAAUGUUACUCCUUUUUAAGUUGUCGAUAUGAAGUGCAGUAUGAUUUAAAGUUAAAUCAUGUUGGUGGUUGGGUUGUACUCUUUAUAACCUGCCUCCUUCAACAGCUUCCUUGUAACUACAACUUCAUAACUCUAACUUGCUUUCUUGUAAUUCCUACAAGAUUCUCAAAUACAACUUACUCUUACUCAACUAAAAAAGAAAAAAAGAAAAAAAACUUGCAUGAGCUAGAAAUUCUAGGUUACAAGAAAACUGUUUAUGUGGCAUCCUUGUGAAUGUUCCUUAAGAUUAUAGGCAUACAAUAUCAUACAAACCAAACAGGUGUCAAGUAGCAUCCAUCCUGUGUAGCCCCAGUAACUCCUAAUCAAGAGGUGGCUGAUGGUUCACUAGGGAUUUCAUGAUGCCACUUGCAAACUUAUGUUGAGAAGUAGCUCAUUUCUGAAACCAUGAAAUAUGAGUAAUGUGUAAGGACCUGCUUAUCUGUAAACACAUCAAGAUGUUUAGAUUCUUACUACUAAAUAAUUCACUCCCUGAAGAACAUUGAACUUAGUAUUUAUGCAGUAACUCCUUGGAGUGACUGUUCCUUGCAGACUGUGAUUGGUUGAAUGUUAGAGAAUUUCACUUGCUAAUCAGACCUGAUUCAAGAUGAAAUCCAGAACUGGAUGAAAGAGAUUCUUCUUGGUUUGCUUUGUGUGGCACAUAGUUGGGGCAGUGUUCCUGACACCACUGUCACCCUGAACUAAUGAUCCCCAUGUAUGAUGUUUGAAAGUAGCUUAACAUUAACAGCUGCUUUGAUGAUCUUUGAAGUGAGGCACAUUGCUUGAGUUGUGUAGGUAAGACAAGUAUGUGGUGGCGAGGGAAAACAACGCAUAGAAUAAAAUACUACAUUUCAUUCAGUUUCUUCUCACCACCACAUUCAAUGUUUGAUUUGAGUGUAUUCAUUAAGCCAUCCUCUGCCUGCCUGGUGCUUCCUGUCCAAUGUUCAUUAAGCUAUGGACUCGUUAUGCAUUCCAGGACCACAUUCAAAAAUGUUUUGGAAGCUUUUCUUAACUACCUUUAACAGGCUGUAUUGAAAGUUAUUGGAAUUUUCUUGUGUGCUUGAUUCUAGAGAUUGUUAAAUAAGGAUUCUGCAUUAAUAAAAAAACAACAGGUGAUAAGGUCAAGUAAUUUCUGUGGUCUUUGAAAGCAGCCCUGAUAAAAAGCACCAAGCAUUUCAGAAUACAAGUCUCGGAUAUGCUUCUAAUGCACACGCACACGCGCGUGCGCGCGCGCACACACACACACACACACACACACACACACACACACACACACACACACACACACACCAAAUACUUCUGCCAGAAUUAUGGUAUAUGUAUCUCAGAGUAUCAUGCUUCAGUAGUCAUCUAGCCAUUAUAUCACAUCCAGAGAGAAUAAAGCAUUCAUUCAUAUCUUAUGUAUAUUUGUUGUUUAUCUGUUCUAUGAAAUAUAUACUGUCAUUCAUGUAUCAUGGUCAGUAAUAAAUUCAUGUCUCAUA
rnacentral:misc_RNA from 1 species